UGGGGAAUAUUGCACAAUGGGCGAAAGCCUGAUGCAGCAACGCCGCGUGAGUGAUGAAGGCCUUCGGGUUGUAAAGCUCUGUCUUUUGGGACGAUAAUGACGGUACCAAAGGAGGAAGCCACGGCUAACUACGUGCCAGCAGCCGCGGUAAUACGUAGGUGGCAAGCGUUGUCCGGAUUUACUGGGCGUAAAGGAUGCGUAGGCGGAUUUUUAAGUGAGAUGUGAAAACCCUAAGCUUAACUUGGGGACUGCAUUUCAUACUGGAAAUCUAGAGUGCGGGAGAGGAGAAUGGAAUUCCUAGUGUAGCGGUGAAAUGCGUAGAGAUUAGGAAGAACACCAGUGGCGAAGGCGAUUCUCUGGACCGUAACUGACGCUGAGGCAUGAAAGCGUGGGUAGCAAACAGGAUUAGAUACCCUGGUAGUCCACGCCGUAAACGAUGAGUACUAGGUGUAGGAGGUAUCGACCCCUUCUGUGCCGCAGUU
rnacentral:rRNA from 1 species